rnacentral:rRNA from 1 species
UACAGAGGUCUCAAGCGUUGUUCGGAUUCAUUGGGCGUAAAGGGGUGCGUAGCGGCGCGGUAAGUCGGGUGUGAAAUCUCGGAGCUUAACUCCGAAACUGCAUUCGAUACUGCCGUGCUUGAGGACUGGAGAGGAGACUGGAAUUUACGGUGUAGCGGUGAAAUGCGUAGAUAUCUGGAGGAACACCGGUGGCGAAGGCGGCAUCCUGGACCAACACUGACGCUGAGGAGCGAAAGCCAGGGGAGCAAAAGCGGGGAU